AAUCAAUGUCAUUGUGAUAAGUACCCAUAUCCAGGUACAAUAUAUUCAAUAGUUGAAAGGUAAAGGUCAACUAAAUUUAAAAACAAAACGGAAUCAUGAUUAAAAAUACAAUUGUGAUAAUUGUUUGAACAAACAACAACAAUCAAUCAAUAACUGUUACAAUAUAGUGAAUUUAAUUUUCCACAAAAUUAAAAGUUAUAUCGUUAAUACAAUUAACUCAUAUGGUAAAGGACAUUGACAAACAUUGACCAACAAUUAACUAACCCAAUGAGAUGAAAAUGUGAUCGGAUUAAAGGGAAACAAGUUAAUUACAAUUAACUAAUAAACGUGUUAACGUGUGUUAAUUAAUUGUUAUAUCAAAUUGUUCAACAAAUAAUGUACGUGUGUGGGUUAGGAUUUAAUUGAUUGUUUAUACAAAUUAACUUGAAACAAUCAAAGAGAUUUGAUUGACUUGGACACAAUUGAUUCGCAAUUGAUGUUAACCUGAUAUACAAUCAACUGAUUGUGAUGAUACACUGAUGAAGAUAAAGGAAGACAUUUGAACAAUGGAUUCACCUUUGAUGUUGAAGGUUAAAAAGAUAGAUGGACAUUUGAUUGUUUCUCUUUCUUUUCUUUCUUUUUUUUACCUUUAUAUUUGUAAAUAUUUUCUUUUACUUCAACUUGUUGUUGUUGUUGUUGAAGGAGGUGGAGGAGGAGGAGGAGAGGGAGGAGAGAGAAUCAACUGACAUUACUAAACCAACCUCUCUGAAAGUUCCGGGUCAAUCUUCUCGUCUUCAUCUUGAUCCUCAUCUUCAUCUUUAUCUUCAUCUUUCAACUGUAAAGAAAAGGUUUACUUCUUGUAUACUGUUGGGGUGUUUGUUCAUAGCAAAGGUAGGGCGUAAUUAAGGAUAUCACGACUUAGAUCACGAUUUGGUGUAGGUGGGUCCCGAAAGUUCAAAGCAACAGAAAUUUGCAGUUUACUGGUUACCUGGAAGACAAAAUCUCGAACCGCUCUGGGUAUUGGUAAGAAAAGAGAGGGAGGAACAGUGAGUAAGCUGAGAGAUGAGAUGAUGAUGAUGAUGAUGAGGAAAAUAAUAAUGAUGAUGACUUUUAGUCUUCCCUUUCAUCUCCUCCUCCUACUUUGCUGUCUUCCAAAUAGAAUCACCAUCAAAGUUUAUCCUUCUCAGUCCAAGUCAUGAGGAAGAAAGAAACGGUAAAAAAGGUAUACUUGGAAAAGAAAAGCUUAUUGUUGGAAAAGAGAAUAAAAUAAAAGCAAAUAGAAUAGAAUUUGACUUUUAUUCUUUUAUCUUCCUCCCACCAACUAUUAUAUAUUAGAAUAGUUUGUCUCUAGUUAAUGGUAGUGUUCGAGAUUCAUGUUAAAUCCAUUAUUUUUUUUUUCGUCUUCAGGCCAACUAUUAUUUUCUCCAACAUCAUUUUCCUAUGUAAUAUAUUUAUCUUUUCUUGUUGAUUCUUUUUUACCUCCGACAUUUUGUUUCUAAUCAUUUGUCUUCACUUUCUCUUUAAGUGGUCAGUUCGCAACAUUUACUUUACCUUUUCUUUUAUUCGAACAAAUGUCCAGGUAAAAGUUUCGUUUUUCGAUCGAUACUUGAAUCGAAAGUUAUUGGAAUAAUAAUGGUUUAGAUUGACAUUGAUGAUCGAUCAGAUUUUUACCUCAUUUCCAAUCAAUUUAAAUUUCUACUCGAAAUUAUUUUCGAUUCUUCAAUGAUUACAACUAAUC